rnacentral:rRNA from 1 species
UACGGGGGGGGUAAGCGUUGUUCGGAAUUACUGGGCGUAAAGGGCUCGUAGGUGGCCAACUAAGUCGGACGUGAAAUCCCUCGGCUUAACCGGGGAACUGCGUCCGAUACUGGAUGGCUUGAGUUUGGGAGAGGGAUGCGGAAUUCCAGGUGUAGCGGUGAAAUGCGUAGAUAUCUGGAGGAACACCGGUGGCGAAGGCGGCAUCCUGGACCAACACUGACACUGAGGAGCGAAAGCCAGGGGAGCAAACGGG